rnacentral:SRP_RNA from 1 species
GCCGGGGAGAUAGCGGUGCCCUGUACCUGCAAUCCGCUCUAGCAGGGGUGAUAUCUUGCCUCGCACAUUUUUCUGCAGAGCUGCCUUUUGUAAGUGGCGUUGAUGUCUGGGUCUUGCGCAACAGAAAUCUGUGAACCGUGUCAGGGCAGGAAUGCAGCAGCACUAAGCAGAACCUUUUGUGUGCCGCAAGGCAGCCUGGGCUGAGUUAACUGCUUGAGUAACGUCUGUGGUUG